rnacentral:rRNA from 1 species
UACGGGGGGGGGCAAGCGUUGUUCGGAAUUACUGGGGCGUAAAGGGUCUGUAGGUGGCCAACUAAGUCAGACGUGAAAUCCCUCAGCUUAACUGGGGAACUGCGUCUGAUACUGGUCGGCUUGAAUCCGGGAGAGGGAUGCAGAAUUCCAGGUGUAGCGGUGAAAUGCGUAGAUAUCUGGAGGAAUACCGGUGGCGAAGGCGGCAUCCUGGACCGGCAUUGACGCUGAACAGCGAAAGCUAGGGGAGCAAACGGG